GUCGAGAAUCUUCGGCAAUGGGCGCAAGCCUGACCGAGCGACGCCGCGUGGAGGAAGAAGGCCUUCGGGUUGUAAACUCCUGUUGGGGGGGACCAAAUUUGAGGGAACCCCUGAGGAAGCACGGGCUAAGUUCGUGCCAGCAGCCGCGGUAAGACGAACCGUGCGAACGUUAUUCGGAAUCACUGGGCUUAAAGAGCGCGUAGGCGGCGUCGUAAGUUGGAGGUGAAAUCCCAUCGGCUCAACCGUGGAACUGCCCCCAAUACUGCGAUGCUUGAGAGAGGUAGGGGCAUGUGGAACUUCCAGUGGAGCGGUGAAAUGUGUUGAGAUUGGAAGGAACGCCAGUGGCGAAAGCGGCAUGCUGGAUCUCUACUGACGCUGAGGCGCGAAAGCUAGGGGAGCGAACGGGAUUAGAAACCCGAGUAGUCC
rnacentral:rRNA from 1 species